rnacentral:lncRNA from 1 species
UCUUGCACAUUAUUUUUCUACUACUCAUAUUGCCUUCACCGUAGAAGAAUCUCUUGUUUCGUAAAGGACGAUGAAGCCUAUAACUAGGCCCAAACAUCAAGCUCUCAAUCAAGUCGACACGUCUUGACCAGGAUCGCAGCCGAUGAGAAGCCUAAUUUCUGUGUGAAGUUCCUUCAUGAAUUUAUCAAUUGUUAUUCAG